UUUCUCAUUUUUCACGUUUUUCAUUGAUUUCGUCAUUUUUCAAGUUGUCAAGUGCAUGUUUCUCAUUUUCCAUGAUUUUCAGUUUUCUUGCCAUAUUCCAUGUCCUACAAUGGACAUUUCUAAAUUUUCCAACUUUUUCAGUUUUCCUCGCCAUAUUUCACGUCCUAAAGUGUGUAUUUCUCAUUUUCCGUGAUUUUCAGUUUUCUCGACAUAUUCCAGGUCCUACAGUGUGCAUUUCUCAUUUUUCACGUUUUUCAGUGAUUUCGUCAUUUUUCACGUCGUCAAGUGGAUGUUUCUCAUUUUCCAUGAUUUUCAGUUUUCUUGCCAUAUUCCAUGUCCUACAGUGGACAUUUCUAAAUUUUCCACCUUUUUCAGUUUUCCUCGCCAUAUUUCACGUCCUAAAGUGUGUAUUUCUCAUUUUCCGUGAUUUUCUGUUUUCUCGCCAUAUUCCAGGUCCUACAGUGUGCAUUUCUCAUUUUUCACGUUUUUCAGUGAUUUCGUCAUUUUUCAAGUUGUCAAGUGGAUGUUUCUCAUUUUCCAUGAUUUUCAGUUUUCUUGCCAUAUUCCAUGUCCUACAAUGGACAUUUCUAAAUUUUCCACCUUUUUCAGUUUUCCUCGCCAUAUUUCAUGUCCCAAAGUGUGUACUUCUCAUUUUCCGUGAUUUUCAGUUUCCUCGCCAUAUUCCAGGUCCUACAGUGUGCAUUUCUCAUUUUUCACGUUUUUCAGUGAUUUCGUCAUUUUUCAAGUCGUCAAGUGGAUGUUUCUCAUUUUCCAUGAUUUUUUCUUGCCAUAUUCCAUGUCCUACAGUGGACAUUUCUAAAUUUUCCACCUUUUUCUGUUUUCCUCGCCAUAUUUCACGUCCUAAAGUGUGUAUUUCUCAUUUUCCGUGAUUUUCAGUUUUCUUGCC
rnacentral:lncRNA from 1 species